CACAGGUCUAUGCAAAACCGCAAGGUGAAGUAUAUGGGCUGACGCCUGCCCGGUGCUGGAAGGUUAAGGGGAGAGGUUAGCGCAAGCGAAGCUUUGAACUUAAGCCCCAGUAAACGGCGGCCGUAACUAUAACGGUCCUAAGGUAGCGAAAUUCCUUGUCGGGUAAGUUCCGACCCGCACGAAAGGCGUAAUGAUUUGGGCACUGUCUCAACGAUACACCCGGUGAAAUUGAAAUACCAGUGAAGAUGCUGGUUACCUGCGCCAGGACGGAAAGACCCCAUGGAGCUUUACUCCAGUUUGAUACUGGGAUUCGGCAUGGUAUGUACAGGAUAGGUGGGAGACUGAGAAGGUAUGACGUCAGUUGUACCGGAGUCGCUGUUGGGAUACCACCCUUACCAUGUUGGAUUUCUAACCUGUGGCCGUGAACCGGUCAGGGGACAAUGUCAGGCGGGGAGUUUGACUGGGGCGGUCGCCUCCGAAAGGGUAUCGGAGGCGCUCAAAGGUUCCCUCAGAAUGGUUGGAAACCAUUCGAAGAGUGCAAAGGCAGAAGGGAGCUUGACUGUGACACCGACGGGUGGAGCAGGUACGAAAGUAGGACUUAGUGAUCCGGUGGUAUAAAGUGGGAUUGCCAUCGCUCAACGGAUAAAAGCUACCCUGGGGAUAACAGGCUUAUCACUCCCAAGAGUUCACAUCGACGGAGUGGUUUGGCACCUCGAUGUCGGCUCAUCGCAUCCUGGAGCUGUAGCAGGUUCCAAGGGUUGGGCUGUUCGCCCAUUAAAGCGGUACGCGAGCUGGGUUCAGAACGUCGUGAGACAGUUCGGUCCCUAUCCGGCGCAGGCGGAGGAAAUUUGAUAGGAGCUGUCCUUAGUACGAGAGGACCGGGAUGGACGGACCGCUGGUGUAUCUGUUGUACUGCCAAGUGCAUCGCAGAGUAGCCAAGUCUGGAAGGGAUAAACGCUGAAGGCAUCUAAGCGUGAAGCCCCCCUAAAGAUAAGAUUUCCCAUACCGAAAGGUAGUAAGACCCCUUGAAGACGACGAGGUAGAUAGGGCAGAGGUGGAAGUGCGGUAACGCAUGGAGCUGACUGUUACUAAUCGGUCGAGGCUUUAACCAA
rnacentral:rRNA from 1 species